UGGGGAAUAUUGGACAAUGGGCGAAAGCCUGAUCCAGCCAUGCCGCGUGUGUGAAGAAGGUCUUCGGAUUGUAAAGCACUUUAAGUUGGGAGGAAGGGCAGUAAGCGAAUACCUUGCUGUUUUGACGUUACCGACAGAAUAAGCACCGGCUAACUCUGUGCCAGCAGCCGCGGUAAUACAGAGGGUGCAAGCGUUAAUCGGAAUUACUGGGCGUAAAGCGCGCGUAGGUGGUUCGUUAAGUUGAAUGUGAAAGCCCCGGGCUCAACCUGGGAACUGCAUCCAAAACUGGCGAGCUAGAGUAGGGCAGAGGGUGGUGGAAUUUCCUGUGUAGCGGUGAAAUGCGUAGAUAUAGGAAGGAACGCCAGUGGCGAAGGCGACCACCUGGGCUCAUACUGACACUGAGGUGCGAAAGAGUGGGGAGCAAACAGG
rnacentral:rRNA from 1 species